rnacentral:pre_miRNA from 1 species
CAUAUACUCCCUCCGUCCCAAAAUUCUUGUCUUAGAUUUGUCUAAAUACAGAUGUAUCAAGUCACAUUUUAGUAUUAGAUACAUCCGUAUCUAGACAAAUCUAAGACAAGAAUUUUGGGACGGAGGGAGUACAGU